rnacentral:rRNA from 1 species
CGGGGUGAGUAACACGUGAGCAACCUGCCUUUCANAGGGGGACAACAGUUGGAAACGACUGCUAAUACCGCAUAAAAUAACGGAACCGCAUGAUCUGUUAUCAAAGGAGAAAUCCGCUGAAAGAUGGGCUCGCGUCUGAUUAGAUAGUUGGUGAGGUAACGGCCCACCAAGUCGACGAUCAGUAGCCGGACUGAGAGGUUGAACGGCCACAUUGGGACUGAGACACGGCCCAGACUCCUACGGAAGGCAGCAG